UGGGGAAUUUUGGACAAUGGGCGAAAGCCUGAUCCAGCAAUGCCGCGUGUGUGAAGAAGGCCUUCGGGUUGUAAAGCACUUUUGUCCGGAAAGAAAUCCUUGGCUCUAAUACAGUCGGGGGAUGACGGUACCGGAAGAAUAAGCACCGGCUAACUACGUGCCAGCAGCCGCGGUAAUACGUAGGGUGCAAGCGUUAAUCGGAAUUACUGGGCGUAAAGCGUGCGCAGGCGGUUUGCUAAGACCGAUGUGAAAUCCCCGGGCUCAACCCGGGAACUGCAUUGGUGACUGGCAGGCUAGAGUAUGGCAGAGGGGGGUAGAAUUCCACGUGUAGCAGUGAAAUGCGUAGAGAUGUGGAGGAAUACCGAUGGCGAAGGCAGCCCCCUGGGCCAAUACUGACGCUCAUGCACGAAAGCGUGGGGAGCAAACAGGAUUAGAUACCCUGGUAGUCCACGCCCUAAACGAUGUCAACUAGUUGCUGGGGAUUCAUUUCCUUAGUAACGUAGCUAACGCGUGAAGUUGACCGCCUGGGGAGUACGGUCGCAAGAUUAAAACUCAAAUGAAUUGACGGGGUCAUAGCUGUUUCCU
rnacentral:rRNA from 1 species